AAUCAAAACCUGUCCUGCCAGCAUUUCCAUUUGCCAGCCUGUUCCCCCUGAUCUCUUAAAUUUUGCCCCAGAUCCUGAAUCGGGGAGACAGAUCUGAGGGCACAUGCCCCCUGUCUCUUUUCCCAAAGGCUGAUGCUGUUAUCAACUGGCCAUUUACGCGCAUCGGGCAAGACAGCCCCAAUUUUGUGCAGUAACAGCAGGUUUACACAGAAGGGAGCGUCGACACCGGACUCACAGAGCAAGCUGAAGUCUGAGGCUCUGGAUCAGAGUUUUGGAAGAAGGGGUUGAACACAAGUGGAACUGGUCUAGUCCAGGGCUUCUGAACGCUACAUUUUGGAGGAAGGCCAUCUUGGGAAGUUCCAAAGUACUUUGGAAAAGAUUAUGUUGAAAGACUAAAGGAAAUUGUCCCGGCCUCUGAGGAGUUGGACAUCAGCAACUACUCAUUUGCAAUUAGACAGCUUACAGCUAUCAAUCUAAAAGUAACAUGAUGAGUUCUUUCUUAGUCUGCCGUCACAUCCCAAAGUGGAGGCUGGGCCCACGUGUUUGGGAGUAUUUUGGUUUACUAAACCACCUGGGUACCACUGUAAUUAUUUUGGAAAGAAAACUCUGCCUUACCUUCA